rnacentral:tRNA from 1 species
GGAAAGGUGCAGGAGUGGUUUAACUGGCAGACCUGGAAAGUCUGUGUACCCGAAAGGGUACCGCGAGUUCGAAUCUCGCCCUUUCCG